UACAGAGGGUGCGAGCGUUAAUCGGAAUUACUGGGCGUAAAGGGCCCGUAGGUGGCCAACUAAGUCGGACGUGAAAUCCCUCGGCUUAACCGGGGAACUGCGUCCGAUACUGGUUGGCUUGAGUUUGGGAGAGGGAUGCGGAAUUCCAGGUGUAGCGGUGAAAUGCGUAGAUAUCUGGAGGAACACCGGUGGCGAAGGCGGCAUCCUGGACCAACACUGACGCUGAGGAGCGAAAGCCAGGGGAGCAAACGGG
rnacentral:rRNA from 1 species